rnacentral:lncRNA from 12 species
CAAGAUGAAGAUGCCAUAGAAGUCUACUGCUCAGUACUCAUGACUACUUAUGUCAAGUGCAGCAGAAAAACGAUGAACUUGACAUUCAAAAAAAUUUUUUUUUCUGUUUUUUGUGCUUGUUGGAGGGUACUUUUUGGAGAGAAGGCAUGGAGGAUAGGACAGGCUUAUGGGACUGCGCUGGGGGCCAGGAGGGGAGGAAGCAGAUUGACGGGGCUCAGCUCUACAGCUGGGGAGGGCCCCACAGCCUCAGAGAGACCUCCGCGGGGGAGCCAGGACCUGGGGGCUCCCAGCUUCCUCCUGACAUUUCCCCAAAGCCACUGCUGGAUGGCGAGGUGACCCCCCCUCCCGGCCUGGGAUUCAGGAUCCCACUGAGGGUCUGACAGCCAGAACUCCCGGAAAAGGGUGGAGCCAGAAGAGCCCGGCCCCAGCUCCCCCCGCCCGCCCGGUGGUCACAGGAUGCAGGGGGAGAAUCUGGUGGCCACGGGGUUAGUGGCUCCAGAUGUCACCUCGCUGAGGGAAACCUGACGCUAGUGGCGCGGAGCCUGCUGUGCUACACCUGCCCCGGGGCGCCCAGCGACAGCCUGUGCCCACCCACCCAGUGCCUGAGGCCUGGCAUCUGCUUCGACAGUAACAUAACCACGACCUCAAGCGGUGGUGAGUCCCCAGCACCCAGAGCCCGGGGGCGGCUCGGGGAGCUGUGCUUGAGGCUCCCCCAGCCAAUCAGAGGAGUGUGGGUUUGGCAGGGGCUAGGGUCCCGCCUGCCUCAGUGUCCCCAUCCACGCAGAGAGGGGCUGGCCUUCCUGGGGAGCCGAUGGGACUGCACAGAGGAUUGGGGGGCCAUGCGCCCCAGGGAGUGGGUGACCCAGGAUGACUCCAGGAGGGUGGGAGGGCACCUCUCACACCGGGGCUCCUUGCCCACAGGAAUGCAGGUGAGGUCAAAGUACAAGGGGUGUGCUCCCUCCUGCAAGGAAGCUAAGGAGACCCUGCAGUGGAUUUUCCGGAUGAGUAGCCUGGACCAGCUGGACCAGCUGGACCCCAGCCUACCCAAGUCUGAACUGCAGAGUUUGACGUGCUGUGAAAAGGACCUCUGUAAUAGGGGGGCGCAGGCCCUGGGCCCCUGCGGGGGGCUGCUGCUCAGCCUAGCACCCGCCUCCCUCUGGGCCCUGCUGUGAGCAGCCCUGACCCCAGCACAGAGGGCAGACUUCCACGCAGCGUGCACACGAAGCAAGCUCGCUGCCCCGCACACUCACGCACUCGCAAGCGCACACGCGGACACUGCAGACCCUGUAGACCCUCAGCCGCUCCCGCCCAACCUCCCUGGCACCCAGUGCCCUGCUAGGCCAACAGGCCUGUCCCCCUUUGCAGACACCAUCAGUUAACCACUGACCCAAGAUGCAGAGCCUGUCGCGCCCUGGCCCUGACCAGACGUGACCUCUAGGACAGCAAAGCCCACAGCCCAGCCCGGGGACGGCCAACACUGUGCCAGCCGGGGCCGGAGAGAAUAAACACUUUCGACAUCGUCCUGUUCUUGGCUUG